rnacentral:rRNA from 1 species
UACGUAGGGGGCUAGCGUUGUCCGGAAUCAUUGGGCGUAAAGAGCGCGUAGGCGGCUGGAAUAGUCCGGUGUGAAAUCCACAGGCUUAACCUGUGAAUGCCGCUGGAAACUGUCUGGCUAGAGUCCGGAAGGGGCGAGUGGAAUUCCUGGUGUAGCGGUGAAAUGCGCAGAUAUCAGGAGGAACACCGAUGGCGAAGGCAGGUCUCUGGGCCACUACUGACGCUGAGGUGCGAAAGCGUGGGGAGCAAACAGG